GGGGAAUUUUGGACAAUGGGCGAAAGCCUGAUCCAGCCAUGCCGCGUGAGUGAAGAAGGCCUUCGGGUUGUAAAGCUCUUUCAGCCGGAAAGAAAUCGCGCAGGAUAAUACCCUGCGUGGAUGACGGUACCGGAAGAAGAAGCACCGGCUAACUACGUGCCAGCAGCCGCGGUAAUACGUAGGGUGCGAGCGUUAAUCGGAAUUACUGGGCGUAAAGCGUGCGCAGGCGGUUAUGUAAGACAGAUGUGAAAUCCCCGGGCUCAACCUGGGAACUGCGUUUGUGACUGCAUAACUAGAGUACGGCAGUGGGAGGUGGAAUUCCGCGUGUAGCAGUGAAAUGCGUAGAUAUGCGGAGGAACACCGAUGGCGAAGGCAGCCUCCUGGGCCAGUACUGACGCUCAUGCACGAAAGCGUGGGGAGCAAAC
rnacentral:rRNA from 1 species